AUUCCAUUUUACAGCCACAUAAACAGAGCAGGUAUUUAGAAGGUGUGUUCAAAGUCCUGCAAACAAAGAACCAUCUCCUGAUCACACUGCCUUUGCAGUCUACAAAUGGGAAUGCACAACAUGAGAAGCAAGAAGGUCUGUGCUGAAAUCCAUGUGUAGGGAAGGACAGCAGCAGUGUGCCAGUGCUUGCUUUUUCAGGAGAGUGCAAAGGGUGCAAUGGCAAAGGCAGUUUCCUGUGCCUUGGGACUCAGUAUUGCUGCAGCACUGGGGAGUGAGUGCCAGCUGUGAAUUCUGAGUGCUGGGCUUUCAUCCUUGGCAUGAGAACUGCUCUUUAUUUUUUUUUUCCCUGUAUUCAUUCAAAAUGGCUUCUGUCAACAUUUGUCUAUAUAUUGACUUUUAUUUGCAGGGGCACUUGAGAGUCUGGCUGUGAUGAGGACCCUAAAUUUUAGGAGAGCAAACUUUCAGUUCUUUAAGGAAGUAGUGGAUAGGAUGCCUUGGAAACUGUCCUCAGGGAUAAUGGAGCUGAACAGAGCUGGCACCUAUUUGAAGACAUUCUUCUUAGAGAACAAGGGCUCACAAUUGCCACUUGUAAGAAGUCAAACAAGGAAUGCAGGAGACCAGCUUGGCAGUGUAAGGAUCUCCUUGUUUAAAAUGCAAGAAAAUAAUAUGCAUACAACAUAUGUAAUGCAAAG